rnacentral:rRNA from 1 species
CCAAUAGCGUAUAUUAAAGUUGUUGCAGUUAAAAAGCUCGUAGUUGAAUUUCAGGGUUUGUCUAUCGGUCGGGCUUUACUGUCCGCACUGAUUUGAUGGAUCCUUACCUUCUGAAUAACCAUCAUGCCAUUAAUUUGGUGCGUUGGGGAAUCAGAGCUAUUACCUUGAAAAAAUUAGAGUGCUUAAAGCAGGCCAGUGCUUGAAUAGAUUAGCAUGGAAUAAUGAAAUAGGACGGCAUGGUUCUAUUUUGUUGGUUUCUAGGAUCACCGUAAUGAUUAAAAGGGAUAGUUGGGGGCAUUAGUAUUCAAAUGUCAGAGGUGAAAUUCAUGGAUUUAUUGAAGACUAACUACUGCGAAAGCAUUUGCCAAGGAUGUUUUCAUUAAUCAAGAACGAAAGUUAGGGGAUCGAAGACGAUCAGAUACCGUCGUAGUCUUAACCAUAAACUAUGCCGACUAGGGAUCGGACGAAGUUAAUUUUUAAAUGACUCGUUCGGCGCCUUACG